CUCAACUCUCUCCCUCUCCCUCUCCCUUUCAAGUGCUCCAAACCAAUUCUUCACAAAUUCUUCAUUCUUGCUUUGAUUUGGAGUUGGAAACUCAAAGAUCCAUUGAAAAAUCAAACCACUAGUCACUUCUACCGAUUGUUUUUCAAGGGAAAGGGUUAUGGUGCGUACGUGAGUACGAAGAAGCAAGAGUCGUGAUAAAGUUGUGAACUGUGAAUUAUAGGCAAGAGAGGUUGAGUGGUGAUGUUGUGGUGGAUGUUGAGUCGAGCCUUAAAAAUUUCCAGAUGCGUCGUGUCGUCAUACAUGGGCGUUAUCCCAUGACUCUCUAGAUACCUUUAUUCCGCUGUCUUGUUUUGAUUUGUUUAUCUAAAGUCUUCCGCUUUACCCUAGACUGCUUCUAUGACAUUAACUACUUUGAGAUAUUAAUUCCGCUGUUUGACUAUUUAAUAGUAUGAGAUAUUCCUUUUGAAGUUUAGUUAAGUUUCGAGUUAAAU